AAAAAGUUUUAGUUUAGUUUAGGUAAUUAGUCUAUAAAUUUAUUAUAUGUAAAUUUUUGUAAUUUAUUUUAAAUAAUAUAAUUUACAGUAGUAAAAAUUAAGUUUAUAAGAAAUUAUGAUUUAGAAAUUUAUGUAAGUAUUGACAAAAUUUGUGCCAGCAGUUGCGGUUAUACAAAUAAUGCAAUUAAUUAUUAUUAGUCAAUAAUAAGUUUUAAUAAAAAAUUAUAAAAUUAAAAUUUUUAGGUGAAAUUUAUAAAAAUUUAAUUUAAUUUUAAUAAAAUUUUAUGAUUUAUGAAAUUUAUAUUUAAACUAGGAUUAGAUACCCUAUUAUUAUAAAUGUAAAUUAAUUACUUAAUUAGUGUUAGUUAUGUUCUUUAAAGUUAAAAAUUUUGGCGGUAUUUUAGUCUAUUUAGAGGAACCUGUUCUGUAAUUGAUAGUCCACGAUUUAUUUAACUUAUUUUAAUUAAUUUGUAUAUCAUCGUAGUUGAAUAUUUUAUUAGAAUUUAAAUGUUCAGAACUUAUAAUUUUAAAAAAAAUCAGAUCAAGGUGCAGUUUAUAUUUAAGUAGAAAUGGGUUACAAUAAAAUUAUUUAUAUGGUUUAGUAAUUGAAAAUUAUUUAUUAAAGUGGAUUUAAAAGUAAUAAUAUUAAAUUAAAUUUUAUGAUUUGAGCUCUAAAGUAUGCACAUAUCGCCCGUCGCUCUUAUAUAAUAUAAGAUAAGUCGUAACAUAGUAGAUGUACUGGAAAGUGUAUCUAGUAAUCA
rnacentral:ncRNA from 1 species